rnacentral:rRNA from 1 species
UUGCCCCUUACUAUAACCAUCCCACUCAAUCUUUUACACCGAUGUUUCAUAUUCUCUCAACCAGGUCAUGAUAAGAAAUACCCAAAUCUUUCCGAAAUGAGAGAAGAAUGAAAGGCACGCUAUAACUAA